rnacentral:tRNA from 2 species
CGGGGCGUAGCGCAGUCUGGUAGCGCACUUGCAUGGGGUGCAAGGGGUCGAGUGUUCGAAUCACUCCGUCCCGACCA